rnacentral:rRNA from 1 species
GACGAACGCUGGCGGCGUGCUUAACACAUGCCAGUCGAACGGAAAGGCCCUGCUUUUGUGGGGUGCUCGAGUGGCGAACGGGUGAGUAACACGUGAGUAACCUGCCCUUGACUUUGGGAUAACUUCAAGAAACUGGGGCUAAUACCGGAUAGGAGCUCCUGCUGCAUGGUGGGGGUUGGAAAGUUUCGGCGGUUGGGGAUGGACUCGCGGCUUAUCAGCUUGUUGGUGGGGUAGUGGCUUACCAAGGCUUUGACGGGUAGCCGGCCUGAGAGGGUGACCGGCAACAUUGGGACUGAGAUACGGCCCAGACUCCUACGGGAGGCAGCAGUGGGGAAUAUUGCACAAUGGGCGGAAGCCUGAUGCAGCAACGCCGCGUGCGGGAUGACGGCCUUCGGGUUGUAAACCGCUUUCGCCUGUGACGAAGCGUGAGUGACGGUAAUGGGUAAAGAAGCACCGGCUAACUACGUG